rnacentral:rRNA from 1 species
UACGUAGGGUGCAAGCGUUAAUCGGAAUUACUGGGCGUAAAGCGUGCGCAGGCGGUUAUGUAAGACAGAGGUGAAAUCCCCGGGCUCAACCUGGGCAUUGCCUUCAAAACUGCGCAGCUAGAGUAUUGGAGAGGAAGGUAGAAUUCCAGGUGUAGCGGUGAAAUGCGUAGAGAUCUGGAGGAAUACCGAUGGCGAAGGCAGCCUUCUGGCCAAAUACUGACGCUGAGGUGCGAAAGCAUGGGGAGCAAACAGG